rnacentral:misc_RNA from 1 species
UUUUUUUUUAUAAUAACAAAGUUCUAUUUAUAAUAACAAAGUUUACAAAUAGAUUCUAUGAUAAAUUAAAGAGUAGCAUGCCUCUAGAAAACCAACAGGCUAAAAAUCCGAAAAAUCAGCUAGCCUAAAAAAGUACCACUUAAUAACAAAGAAAAUAAUAUUCAGCAGUGCCAGAAAGAUACACCCCAGAUUCACCUACAAAGUCCACACAAAGUCCGGUGCAUCUUUCCGUUGCCCUGCCAAUGUCCGAUAUAGGUACAUCUUGUCCACUUUCUGUGCAUCAUCAAAAAUAAAAUCUGUCUGCUCAUUUUCGUUCAUGAUCUCCACAUUGAGCCGUGGCAUCUUCUUUGCAAGGGUCUUGCAGCCUCCAAGA